AGCUCAGCGUGACUUCCGCCAGCGUUUAGAACGUUUUCGGGGUCCGAGUUGAAGAGCAAAACCAAGUGAAGGAAACUUCACUAAGUUCAGGGUGACAAGGGAGGAAGUACAGAGAAACAGAGCGCUUAAAAAGCACUGUCUGGAUAUCUUCAGAGGGAAAAAGGAGAAAGUUAACUGAAUUGGUGACACUUCGGGUCUCUCACAGAGGAAGGGCCAAGGAGAUUAAGAUCAAGUUGGGAAUUCUCCUCCAGAAGCCAGACUCAGUUGGUGACCUUGUCAUUCCGUACAAUGAGAAGCCAGAGAAACCAGCCAAGACCCAGAAACCCUCGCUGGACGAGUCCCUGCAGUGGCGUGAUUCCCUGGACAAACUCCUGCAGAACAACUAUGGACUUGCCAGUUUCAAAAGUUUCCUGAAGUCUGAAUUCAGUGAGGAAAACCUUGAGUUCUGGAUUGCCUGUGAGGAUUACAAGAAGAUCAAGUCCCCUGCCAAGAUGGCUGAGAAGGCAAAGCAAAUUUAUGAAGAAUUCAUUCAAACGGAGGCUCCUAAAGAGGUGAAUAUUGACCACUUCACUAAGGACAUC
rnacentral:sRNA from 1 species